CGCCUUUUUGCUAGCAAGAAAUUUAAUGUUCAUACGAACGGUGAGCUGCACUUUGCCUCCACCGUCUUGUUGUGACAAUGUGAAUGGAAAUUCCAUUCUCGUCGACAUGUAACAUCUUUAUUUUAAAACGUGAGACAGGUUAGCAUGUCCCGCGACACCUACUCUGAUGGAAAUUGGUGCAGGUGUGGGACUUCAAUUUGUUUGAAUCCAGUGUCACAAAUGUCAAAGUUUCAGCCUCUCGAUCUUUUAAAUGGAAAUGACUUGGGGACUGAUGGUUUUGUUUUUUCUGACGACGCAUUUUCAAAAUUGUGCUUUGCCAAUUAGGGGAGAUGGAACUUGUUCGUGGAAAAAAUUGUAUUAUUGAGUAAUUUUUUUUGGAGUAGGUAGCAUCCCGGAUCGUGUUUUAAUGGUGCGGUUGGAAAUAUUGAUUGAAGAAAAAUAAAGGGAUUAUUCUUUUGAAUCCGGCGGCUUGUCUCCGAGCCGACACAUGACAAGGAAUCCCUUUCACUGUAAUUUACUUUGUGACACCUUGAGGUCGAGGUAUCGGAGAAUCUUUCGUAAUAUGUUCGGUGAACACCGGCGAAUAUAAAUUUAAAUUUAAUGUUUUGUUCUCGGCAGACGGCAAAAAUUGAUAUAGAAUCGAAUUUUUUCACCGUCUUUUCCUACUAAAUUGUAAUUUACAAUCAAAGUUCUUCCUCUCGCGAGACCGAAGACUUGACGGCGUUUCAGAUUUAUAAUAUUGCGCGGAAUCGGGUCGACAAGGGGCCCGCGUUAAAUUGUGUUGUGUAAAUUAUCAGUUGCUAGUGGAAAUUUACAUUUGAAAGGAAAAACUGCCAUUAAAAACCUGAUAAUUUACCAGAAAUUAUAUUAGAGUUAUAUAAGAAUGGCGAAGUUCGUACGAGACUUCGUCACGCCACGCCGCCAUUAUCACUUAUCUAAGUUUCAAACUCUCUGGCGUGAUGGAAAAAAUCAAAAUGAUGAUGGGCGGUCUGAUUUACCAAGCCCUGUGUAAAUUUCCAUUUGUGACUUUCAGUUCUGGCGGUGUGUGAAACUCUUCUUCUUUUUCUUCCACAAUCAUCUUAUGAUUUUUUAAUUUUCUGCGUCGAGUGCCGAAUACAAAUUAAUCGCAUAGAUGUCUUUCGCAGCCCUUUCGAUAAAAAGCCGCCGAAAGGGUCAGAAAGUUGGCGAUCUGAAAAAAACGUAAUCCUGCAAGAGUAACACAAACUGUCAUUAAUCACGAGCUUAUCUGGUGUUAGUGACGUCACUCAGGUCCAAAUUCGAACGCACAGCUUUGUUCUCGACGCCGUCGACGUCCGACGCCGCGUCGAGGUGACACUUCCAAGCUAAUAGCGUAAUUGGCUGGCAAAAACCGACGUUCGAACUCCGUUUAUUCGGAAAAUCCUCUCGGUAAUUUCGUUCCGACCGCUUCUUUUCCGGUGGGUUUUUUUAUCCCGGAUUUAGCCUCCGGUCGUUGUCCAAACCGAAAUGAUUCAUGCAAUUUGACAUUUAGACCGUGAUUAACAACCGUUCCGUAUUAAUUUACAACUGCGAUGGGGCUUAAUGGCCGCGUUAAUCAUAUCCGCGUGAUGUUGUUCUUCGGGGCGGCGUGUCGAGGAAAUUGCAUUCGAUGUUACGUGGUCGAGAUAUGAAGGUUCAUAGGAAAUUAAUAGUUUUAUAUAACACCAGAGGUUUUGCAUUGUAAGGGGUUUAUUAAACUUGACGGCUGGCUGCGGGUAACUGGCACCGGUAUCACAUGCUUCGAGGUGGCACAAAUUACCAGCAAUAUGUUUAACUCAAUUGAUGAAAAUAACGCAAAGGCAGUUUUGUGGGAAAAUGGAUUUGUAGAGUCUAUCUUCUUAGAAAAGCUUUCACCGAAAGCCAUUUAUUUUUCUUCAAUAUUCAGAAAAAAUCAAGAAUAGAUCCCAGAUUAACCUGUAAGACAUCAAUAUUGGAACUUGGCUCUUUAUUGCUCCAGCUUCAAUAAAUUUUUAUAGCACUUUUACGAUUUUCAUAUGAGAUGGCUUCGUAUAAAAAUGAAUUAAAGUUAUUGCCUACCGAGAAUAUAGUCCUGUUAAAUUGCCGAACGAAAUACUUUUUCUAUCCCUUUAAUAAAUUACCAAAAA